GAUCCUACGGGAGGUAGCAGUGAGGAAUAUUGGUCAAUGGUCGGGAGACUGAACCAGCCAAGCCGCGUGAGGGAGGAAGGUACAGAGUAUCGUAAACCUCUUUUGUCAGGGAACAAAGGCGGGGACGUGUCCCCGGAUGAGUGUACCUGAAAAAAAAGCAUCGGCUAACUCCGUGCCAGCAGCCGCGGUAAUACGGAGGAUGCGAGCGUUAUCCGGAUUUAUUGGGUUUAAAGGGUGCGCAGGCGGUCUGUUAAGUCAGCGGUCAAAGCCCGGGGCUCAACCCCGGCCCGCCGCUGAAAAUGGCG
rnacentral:rRNA from 1 species